UGGGUCCUACGGGGGGCAGCAGUAGGGAAUCUUCCACAAUGGGCGAAAGCCUGAUGGAGCAACGCCGCGUGGGGGAAGAAGGUCUUCGGAUCGUAAAACCCUGUUGUUAGAGAAGAAAGUGCGUGAGAGUAACUGUUCACGUUUCGACGGUAUCUAACCAGAAAGCCACGGCUAACUACGUGCCAGCAGCCGCGGUAAUACGUAGGUGGCAAGCGUUAUCGGGAUUUAUUGGGCGUAAAGGGAACGCAGGCGGUCUUUUAAGACUGAGGUGAAAGACUUCGGCUUAACCGGAGGAGUGCAUGGGA
rnacentral:rRNA from 1 species